rnacentral:rRNA from 1 species
GCUGGCGGCGUGCUUACACAUGCAAGNUCGAGCGGUAAGGCCUUUCGGGGUACACGAGCGGCGAACGGGUGAGUAACACGUGGGUGAUCUGCCCUGCACUUCGGGAUAAGCCUGGGAAACUGGGUCUAAUACCGGAUAUGACCUCAGGUUGCAUGACUUGGGGUGGAAAGAUUUAUCGGUGCAGGAUGGGCCCGCGGCCUAUCAGCUUGUUGGUGGGGUAAUGGCCUACCAAGGCGACGACGGGUAGCCGACCUGAGAGGGUGACCGGCCACACUGGGACUGAGACACGGCCCAGACUCCUACGGGAGGCAGCAGUGGGGAAUAUUGCACAAUGGGCGAAAGCCUGAUGCAGCGACGCCGCGUGAGGGAUGACGGCCUUCGGGUUGUAAACCUCUUUCAGCAGGGACGAAGCGCAAGUGACGGUACCUGCAGAAGAAGCACCGGCUAACUACGUGCCAGCAGCCGCGGUAAUACGUAGGGUGCAAGCGUUGUCCGGAAUUACUGGGCGUAAAGAGUUCGUAGGCGGUUUGUCGCGUCGUUUGUGAAAACCAGCAGCUCAACUGCUGGCUUGCAGGCGAUACGGGCAGACUUGAGUACUGCAGGGGAGACUGGAAUUCCUGGUGUAGCGGUGAAAUGCGCAGAUAU